UUGUCCUCUUUGUCACGAGAACAGCGCCGCAGACCCCUUGGGUCGUUUUUAUUUUCUGGCGAAAAUCGCCACCUCCUCCAUCUUUGUCCAGCAGGCUCCUGAGAAACCCCGUGCCGCCUGCUCGCCGCCUCUCCUCGAAACCCCGAGCCCCUCUUCGUCCCCUCCUUUCUCUCUUCUCCAGUGAAGAUGGAAGCAAGCGAGGACCAAGUGAGCUCCUCAUCUCCUUUGCUCCGGCGAGAACAGCCCCGACCCACCAGCGAGACCCUUCUUCUCUCCUUUGCUUCGACAAGAGCAGCCAACAGUCGCUGGCAAAUUGGACCAACAACCAUCAUCAACCGGAGCGCUGCUCUGACCAGCAAGCCCUAGCGCCGUUCCUCACAUUUUACGGUGAGGACGGCAAAGACGAGCGCCAAUAGAGUCUGGUCAACACACGGUUUGAGAUUUCGAGACGGAUCUUAAUAGAUUAGUGGGUUAGUUUCUUUAGUAGUUAUCUCAUUUCUCAAAUGGCCUUUUGCUUUCCGAUUAGAAGUCUUAUUGCAUGUUUAGAUUGUAAAGUCAUGUAAUUUGUGAAUCUCGUCUUAAGCAUGAACUGUUGUGACUUAUGAUAGCCUAAAUUUGUUCAUUCGCUCUAGCAUUUUGCAAUAGCACCACUUUGAUUCAAUCACAAAUAGAGCUACUGAUUUUUGAGUGUAUUUGAGUAAGAUUUGAUAUGUCAAUGGAUUGCUUUGCUUAAUUUAAUUGAUCAUUCUUUGUGGUUACUUUUGCCUUAAUUUAUUUGAACCACAAACUGUCCAUUUAUGUUGCUACUUGAUUUGAACUGAUUUUACUUCUUUCUUUGAAUUUAUUUGCUUCGCCUGAUUCUCUACUAUAUUAUUAUGUAUUGACUUAUAUUAAUUUAUUUCCUUACCUUAACUGAAUUUUGUGAGAUGUUGUGUUUCUGGUUGUGGUAAAUUGCUACAAUUUUGAUAUUUUAUUGAAGUGAAAGUUUAAAAGAUCAAAGAACUUUAACCAUACUGCUCCUAAUUGUAAUCUUGAAAACUCUAUUGGCACGUCAAGAUGAUAUUUUGAAACAGUUCAGCAGUUUAUGAGCUCAUCCAGAUCAAGGUUAGCCAUAGUAUACUUUAAACAAUAAUAAUUUCAUUACAGCUUGUUUAAUUAAAUAGAAAUAGUUUGUAGCAUUUAACACCUAAUAUAUAACUAUGUUUCAUUUUCAUGAUACAGUGAUCAAUGAACCUUAUCAAGUUAUCCCUUCAGGUUCUGUAAGAUGGAAAUCAGGACUAACUAUUAAUGAAGUGCUUUUGCAAUGAUAUUUUGAGAAGCAACCUUAAUUUUAUUACUUCGUUUCUUUUUAAUGUUUAGUAUAUCUAAGUUACAUUUUUCAAGUUGGACCAAAUUUUGUUGAUGUUAAUUUUUCUUUAAGGCGUAUGUAAUGAGAUAUCAUCUCAUGAAUGUUAUUUUGGUCUUUCCUAAUUAAUAUAUGACGGUGUUUU